rnacentral:lncRNA from 1 species
AUCAAACAAUUUAUGAAGUAUACUAUGAAAUGUGUCGCGUUAUCAUUAUGGACUUUGACCAAUAUAGAUUUAUAAUUAUUUUCGCAGAUCUUUAGUCUAUGUUUGCGAAUUAUUGUGAUCUCCUAUCAUUAUAGACAAAUUGUAAACAAACUUUGGAAUGAAUCGACUCAACGGCUUUGUAGGAAAUGACACAAUAAUAUUUUUAAAAAUAAGGGUACAUUUAGUUCGGAUCGAAGAUCCAUAAUUUUGCUACUCUAAUAUGUUGAGUUGAUAAUUUUACCAUCCAAAUCCAUAUACAAAAUAGAAAUAUCAAAUUUAGAUGUAUGAUAAAAAUCUGAAUUUUCGCUGCAAUUGAUAUGUAGAUUCAACAAAAUUAUAAAUUUAAAACUAUAACUAGUGUAUUUUGUUCUACACAUAAAAAGCUAUGAAGGUAAAAUAAUGAAAAUUAAUUAAUUUUUCUAAUUUCUAAAGAAUUAAUUUGAUUAUGAGAUAAAUUAAAGGGCGAUUCUCUCAAAUAGUCAUUUUUCAGUUUUUGUUACAAAAAUAUCAUUCAAUAAGGAAAAUGAUCAAAAUAGUUUCUUUUUAUUUUGAAAAUUUAAAUAUUUAUUUUUUAUUUUUUAAAAUUUAAAACUCUAUCCUCAAAAUUCCACCCCUUAACUCUAAACCUUAAGUCUAGAUUAAUUAACCUUAAGGUAUAAAUAUAUUUUUGCCCUUUAAUAAAACUUAUUUUGGUCGUUUUUCUCAUUGAAGACUAUUUUUGUGACAAAUUUUUUAAAAAGACUAUCCUAGAGAAUUUCUCUAAAUUAAAUAUUUAUUUAUAUUAUUUAUUAAAAACACUAAACAA